GCUGGUCCCUACUGGUCCUGGAGGCUGGUCUACUGGUCUCUACUGGUCCUGGAGGCUGGUCUACUGGUCUCUACUGGUCCUGGAGGCUGGUCUCUACUGGUCUCUACUGGUCCUGGAGAUGGGAGGAGGACGGAGAGUGGCGCCUGACGAGCCCGCGGUGGCGCUGUGUGGCGACGUUCUCAGCGGACGACAGCUGAGGGAAUGGGGUCAGAUGUGACGGGCGUGGACAAGCCAGCAGAUUUCCCGGCUAUUGAUAGCAGUAAUCAAUCAAAUUAGUGAUGUCACGUCUCACUGAGCGGCUGACGGCAUUAGUGCACGGAUUGUUUUGUCAUUUACCUCUUAAUUUAUGCAUGGAUUUCUCUUCCUUUUUCAAGGGAGAAAGCUCUUGUGUGUGUGUGUGUGUG
ensembl:lncRNA